GACGAACGCUGGCGGCGUGCCUAAUACAUGCAAGUUGAGCGCUGAAGGUUGGUCCUUGUACCAACUGGGUGAGCAGCGAACGGGUGAGUAACGCGUGGGGAAUCUGCCUUUGAGCGGGGGACAACAUUUUGAAACGAAUGCUAAUACCGCAUAAAAACUUUAAACACAAGUUUUAAGUUUGAAAGAUGCAAUUGCAUCACUCAAAGAUGAUCCCGCGUUGUAUUAGCUAGUUGGUGAGGUAAAGGCCCACCAAGGCGAUGAUACAUAGCCGACCUGAGAGGGUGAACGGCCACAUCGGGACUGGGACACGGCCCAAACCCCUUCGGGAGGCAGCCGUAGGGAAUCUUCGGAAAUGGACGAAAGUCUGACCGAGCAAAGCCGGGUGAGUGAAGAAGGGUUUCGGAUCGUAAAACUCUGUUGGUAGGGAAGAAAGUUGGUGAGAGUGGAAAGCUCAUCAAGUGACGGUAACUACACAGAAAGGGACGGCUAACUACGUG
rnacentral:rRNA from 1 species